rnacentral:rRNA from 1 species
CCUACGGGUGGCAACAGUGGGGAAUAUUGCACAAUGGGGGAAACCCUGAUGCAGCGACGCCGCGUGAGUGAAGAAGUAUUUCGGUAUGUAAAGCUCUAUCAGCAGGAACGAGACAAGACGGUACCUGACUCAGACGCCCCGGCUAACUACGUGCCAGCAGCCGCGGUAAGACGUAGGGGGCAAGCGUUAUCCGGAAUCACUGGGUGUAAAGGGAGCGUAGACGGCUGAGCAAGCCUGAAGGGAAAGGCGGGGGCCCAACCCCCGGACUGCUUUGGGAACUGUACGGCUGGAGUGCAGGAGAGGUAAGUGGAAUGCCUAGUGUAGCGGUGAAAUGCGGAGAUAUUAGGAGGAACACCAGUGGCGAAGGCGGCUUACUGGACUGUAACUGACGUUGAGGCUCGAAAGCGUGGGGAGCAAACAGGAUUAGAUACCCGGGUAGUC